CACCGCCUGUUGCCCCCACUGCCCUUUGGGUUGCUUGUCAGUUUGGAUUACAGACUACUGUCAUCCCUUUGACUCAGCUUAAAAUACUUGCAGCUUCAUAAACUGUCAGAAGAUUUACAUAAGAUGAGAGCUUUCUCCAGACGAUAGAGGAUGUCAGGGAAGGAAUGCAUUGCAAGGAGCUCCUCGGGGCAGUUGGAUUCCACAUGGAUUCACAGCGAGCAGCACAUGUUUGGAAAGAGGAUGGCUGUAAAGGUAAGGGCUCAGCCUCCAUGUUUUCUUCACCCGAAACGGUCCACGUGGUUGCUGGGCGCAGCUUCUUCCCUUCUAUUCCGGAGCACACAUCGCAUGUUUCCUUAACCCCGUUCUUCAAACCCAGGCUCCCAGAUUCCCUCAAAAGCAAGAAAGAAAAGGAGCCCAGGAAGAGUGCUUCCUUAACCCCGUUGCUCAAACCCAGAUUCCCUUGAAAGUAAGAAAGAAAAGGAUCCCAGGAGUGGUGCUUCCUUAACCCGUUCUUCAAACCCAGACUCUCUUGAAAGAAAGGAAAGGGUCCCAAGAAAGUCUUAUAAAGCCCUAUAUGCUUCGGGUUCAACCUAUCUUCGAGACCGCAUCUCCUUCAAUGAAACUUUGUGGGCCAAAAGAUCUACUGGAGAGGCACUCCUCUCGGUCCCAGCACUGUCCCAAGUACGGCUGGUGGGGACAACAGAGAGGCCCUACUUAGUGGUGGCACGCCGGCUCUGGAAUGCCCUCCCUAGAGAGAUUAGGUUAGCCCCUACUCUCCAAGCUUUUCAGUCUAGUCUAAAAACUUGGCUUUUUAAAUAGGCCUCUGACCUUGAAUAGUUUUUAAUGGCUAGACAUGAGGGCUUAGUGAUUGCUUCACUCGGGCACUUGGAUUGCUAAUUUAUCUGCAGGCAUCGCUGAAUGUUAUGAUUUAAAAAAAUAAUAUUAUGUGUCAUUUUAAGCAUGGUUACAGUUGUACAUUUAUGUUGUGAUAGUCUAUAUGUUUAUGUAUUGUUUAUGUUAUGUUUAGCACUGGUAAUGCUUCUGUGAACCGCCCCGAGUCCCUUCAGGAGAUGGUGGCGGGGUAUAAAUAAAGAUGAUGAUGAUGAUGAUGAUGAUGAUGAUGAUGAUGAUGAUGAUGAUGAUGAUUAGGAUGCUUCCUUAACCCAUUGAGUUCCCUUCAGGGUGAGAAGAGUGGGAUAUACAUGUAGUAAAUAAAUAAAUAAAUAAAUAAAUAAAUAAAUAAUAAAUCCUGUUCUUCAAACCCAGACUCCCUUGAAAGGAAGAUAGGAAAGGAUCCCAGGAAUGGAAAGGGGAGCUUCGUAAGUUCCCCAUUCCCGCUAAUGGGCCUGAUCUUCCCGGAUCUUUUGGUUGCCUAGCUGAAAACAGCUUUUGCCAUUAGCCGAUUUUCAGGAGGCUCCCAAAAAUGGAUCUGGAUACCCAACGAAAUUCAAAUACCAAAAAAGGAUCACCCUCCAGCUGAGUUGCAUAAGCCUUUUCUUCAUAUCACCAGAUCAACAAAAGGAUUUGCUACAGCUGAAAACUGGAGGGGUCUCAUAUACCUUUAAUGGUGUCGUAGAAAUGGGUAUUUCAGUAAGCAUCACUUGUUACUUUGUUGCAUAAUAAGCAAGACUUACUGAAGUUCCGUCUUCUGCAUCACCAUUAAAGGUACAUAAGACCUUCCCAAUGUUUCACUCUGAUAACUAUAGAAGGGACCCUACCUCACCCACAAAGACACUUCCCCUAUGGAACAUGGGAAGCUUGUGCCAUAGUUAAUCUGCAGAGCCCCACUAGAAGUGAGUCUGGAUCAUGUGAUGGAUGGCAUGGGGCUCUAUAGAUUACCUCUGCUGCAAGUGUCCUAUGACGCUUGCAGCCACCUGUGUGAUGAAGUGUGAUGAAGUCGUAAUGCCCCAUCUAUACUGAACUAUAACACUGAUUAACUGCAUUGAACUGGAUUAUGUGGGAGUGUAGACUCAUACAAUCCACUUCAAUGCAGUUUCAAACCAUUAUAUGGCAAUGUAGAUACUGUUGGUGCAAACAAUUGUUUUGCUUUGCAGGACAACCUGAAGGGAGUCACAGUCUUCUUGAUGAGAUGGUGUCUUCUUGGUUCCUACUACAAAUCUUGAAUCAGAUGCCCUCCAUUGUGCCUUCAUUAUUGCUUUGAAGGGUUGGAGAAAUCUUCAAGUUUAGACCCUUGCUCUCCUUCUCCCAUGGAGUACAUACCAGGCAGUUAGUAAGGGGCCUGGACAUUAAAUGUGCAUUUCCAUCGAUGCUGCACCACAGAGAAAUGUAGGGAGUCAAUUGCAGCCUCAACGAGGGCUCUGCCUCAUAGAGGGGUUAGGCCUGGGGCGCCUGGAGACACAUUAAAGAUUAAACAGGAGACAAGAAGAAAGGGGUUGGAGGCAGCAGGGGAGGGGAGCGAAAGGGAAGGAGCUGAGUAAACAUGCUGGAGCAGUUCCAGAAUGGGUCAAGCCUUGGACAAGUGACUGCUUUCCUACUUAGCUGCAUCCCUACAUUGUCACUCGCUGGGCUAAACAGCAUCUCGCCUGAGUCGCCUGCAGCUAAAAUUCCACCACCUGACCUCACAGGCUUCCUCUGCCACCAACAUAGCAGCCAAGAGGUGUGUGUAUGCGUGCGUGUAGGGGGGUAGCACCGAAGAAGGGAGGUCGGGCCAUAAAGGAGUGCAAACCUCUAAGCCGGCACCCAACCUGGGCCUCUCAACAGAAUAUCAGCUGCAGGGUCUCAUUCCCAGCACCUGCAUGAGAUAUCCAAAGCACUUGGCUGGGGACAUGGACUCAGAGGGCAUGCUAUGGAACAUGUGAACAAGACCCCUUUGUAUAACCAUCACCUAUCUGUGUAUUGAUGUCUUGUGGACGGUCUUGCACUUGUCUAUUUAAGUAUUUUUUCGCUAAUCCAUUUCCACUUUCAUUUUAUCAUGGGGUUGGUGGAUACAAACAGGUAGAAUAAGGGAUAGAACUCCAGCCCCUUUAAUUGUCAUGUGGAAGAGAGACGUUCAGCAGGCGGGGCUUGCAUGACAAGCAACAUUGGCUGAAGUUUUAUCCUCUACAUCAGGGGUCCUCAAACUUUUUAAGCCGAGGGCCGGUCCACAAUCCUUCAGACUGUUGAGGGGCCGGAUUAUCAUUUGAAAAAAAAAAUACAAACAAAUUCCGAUGCACACUGCAUAUGUCUUAUUUGUAGUGCAAAAACAACAACAACAACAACGAAAGAACAAUACAAUAUUUUUUUUAAAAAACAAUUUUAACCAACAUACAUUUAUCAGGAUUUCAAUGGGAAGUGUGGCCCUGCUUCUGGCCAGUGAGAUAGUCAAGUUAAUUAGGGUUGUUGUUGUUGUUGUUGUUGUUGUUGUUGUGUGCCUUCAAGUCAUUUCAGACUUUGGGUGAGCCGAAGUCUAAAAUUUAUUUAUUUAUUUAUUUGUUUAUUAUUUACUGCAUUUACUUAUUACAUUUGUAUCACACCCUUCUCACCCCAAAGGGGACUCAGAGUGGCUUACAAGUUAUAUGUACAUACAAUAUAUUAUAUUAUUAGCAUAGCACAAUAUUAGCUUUAUAUAUUACUAUAUUGAACUAUACCACUAUACUGUAAUAUUAUUAGUAAUAUUAUAUGUAAUAUAGAAUAUAUAAUUAAUAUUAUUAUAUGGUAUUAUUAUUCGUGUUAUAUUGAAUUACAUUAUAAUAUUAUUAUCAAUAUUAUAUGUAUUAUAUGUAUAUACAAUAUAUUAUAUUAUAAAACUGAGGGCGGGGGCCAGGUAAAUGACCUCGGAGGGCCGCAUCCGGCCCCCGGGCCUUAGUUUGGGGACCCCUGCUCUACAUAAACAUUCAAGUGAUAGGAGGCCUGUUCCUUAUUUCAUCAUGCACCAGUUGUUCCCAAACUUGGGUCCUCCAGGUAUUUUUGGACUUUAGCUCCCCAAAUCCUGACUGUUGGCCAAACUGCCUGGAUCUUCUGAGAGUUGAGGCCCAAAAUACUUGGUGGACCAAAGUUUGCAUCACGAUUGUCAUGGGAUAGCUACUUCAAAGUGAUUGAUGAGGAAAGCACACACAGCAUGAAGAGGCAUUCAGAUGCAUGGAGAAUUAGAAAGAACUUUUGAAAGGCAUUUUAAGUUAGCAGCUAUGUUGUAGAUCAGUCAUCAGAGGCUGAUGGUUUAACUGAUGAUUUAGAGAAGAUUGUGAGCUUUCCUGUGGAUGAUUCAGAGAGGAUUGUGAGCUUUCUUGUGGCACAAAGAGAUGGGCCCUCAAGCCUGGGAAAUGAUAGUUCUUGCUGUGAGAAAACUGGCUGGGAAAGUGCAGGGCCUCAAGAACAUUCAGGGGAGUCAGAAGCAGCAAUAGCAGAUAAGGAAUCAAGGGAAGAGCUGAGUGAUAAAGAAGGUUCUCAUGGGAAACCACCUGCAGCUAUGGAGAUCAACAAAAGCCUUCAUUUAGAAAUCAGAGCCAAAAAUAGAUUGCAUCAUUCAGAGAGAUUACAUGGAAAGUUAUAAAAUAAAUUCACGGGAAACGGAAUGCUUUCAUGGAUGUCUAUUAAGCAACAAGUUGUUUACCUUAAGGUCAGUUCAGGCAACGUUGCAUUAGAGUGAGAAGCUAAGCUUAAGUUCUCUUGUUCCUGGUUCAAGUUAAGCUUUGAUUUUGGAUUUAAUAUAUCCUGGAGGUUUUGUAUGUUCCUGUUCAUGUACUCCUCUUCAAGUCUUACUAGUUCUAUAUUCCUGAUUGUGGACUUAUGCUGUAUCUGUGAUUCCUGGCUGUUCCUAGACUUUGUCACCUUUGGAACUUUAUGACACAUUUGAAUUAUUGUUUGGUUAUCACCUGUUGCUAAACCUUUUUUGAUUAUAUAUCUCCCUUUCUUAUUCCUGAUUUUUAUAUGCUUUUUAUCUGUUUUUAAAAAAAUAAUAAACUAUUUGUUUAUAUUCAUAGACUUUUGUGUGGUGCAGUGGUCAUAGGUGUUUCCAGGCCUGGAGUGCAACAAAUUAUUACUUUUUAAUAUUAUUUUAAUGUACAUCUCACCUUCUUUUUGAUAAGUUCAAGGCACCAUAUAGCUUUCCUUCUUACUAUUUGAUCCUCAAAAAUAUCCUGUGAGGUAAGUACAUGGGCAAAGUCACAAUUAACCUUCAUUGUGAGUGUAGUUUACUGAGGCUUCAGAGUGUGGUGGCUGAAUCUUUUACUAUUAGGAUGGAUGGCAUUUUGAAUGCUGUUUCACGUUCAAAAGAACAAAACAAAACCAACACAAACUGUUUGCAAUUGGAACAUUGCACAGCAGGGAAAAAUCUGGACUGAGUGAGAAAUGUUCUCCCUAAUUUUAAAAAAAAUGACAGAAAUUUAGUGUUGCUUUGUUGUAGGAGAGUACUAAGUGAUUGAUUAAAUGUUUGUGUCUGCUCACAUAGCAGUGCCCUUGGGGUAAUUUAGAAAUAUAAACAUGAAAGCAUUAUGAAGAGAGAUAUGGGAGGAAGAUUUAGGGAUUAGGAUAAGGGAAGUGGAUUGGAUACAGUUAUGGAAUCAAAGACAUUUAAGGAACCUAUUGAUACAUGUUAAAGAAAAUUAUUAUAAACUGGUUUGGAAAUGGUACUUAACACCAGUAAAGAUAGCAAACAUUAAUAAAAAUGCUACAAAAUAUUGUUGGAGAGGUUGCCAGGAGGUGGGUACAUAUAUACAUAUGUGGUGGCAAUAUAAAUAUGUAAAUGUAUUUUGGGGGAAGGCAUUUAGAGAAAUAGAAGCUAUAAUGGAUAAGAAGAUAGGAAAAAGUGCAAGUAUUGCAUUGUUGUCAUUAUAUAAUGUCAAGAAUUUGAAAAAAAACAGAGAAGGAUGCAAUAAAUAACAUGUUAACUGCAGCAAGGCUGUUGAUAGCAAGGAACUGGAAAGGUAAAAUAAACAUACAAAUAGAAGAAUGGUAUAAAGAACUAUGGAAAUUAGCAAUAAACGUUAAGUUAACAUGUAGAUUAAGAGUUAAGAAAGGGGUAUGAAAGGAAAACGACUUUGACGAGGUUUAGGGAAAAUUUAUUGAGAAGGGUUUAAAAGAAGUAGAUGGGAAAUUACCUCCACAAGAAGAAAUGAUAUUUUGGGAAGAGAAUGUAAAUUGAAAUGGCUCGAGGGGGGUGGGGGUGGGGGUGGGCACAGAGGUGAAAAGAAACAGCAUACAAGAUAUGCAAUGAAUUAAGAAUGAAAUAUAAGAGUAUUGAAGGUAUUGAUGUAUGGAUGUAUUUUAAAAAAACUAAUUAAAAAAACAUGGAAGCAAUAUAUAAAAUAACAUAUUUUCCACCCAGAUUCAGGCAAUCAGAUGUAACAGGCUCUAAGUGUUUAAAUAUUAAAAAGUUAAAAGCUGGAAAUAAAACUUAAACAAUAAAAGCAGAAAGCGAAAUAAAUAUCAGCACUC